CCUAAUUAAUUCUACUAAUAAUUAUAUACUUAUCUUAAAGAUUAAGCUAUAUAUAUCUAAGUAUAAGUAAUUAUAAAGCGAAACUAUAAAUAGCUUAUUAUAUAAGUUAUCGUUUAUUUAAUAGUACUUUAUUAUAUAGAUAAUUAUAGUAAUUCUAGAGCUAAUAUAUAUUAAAAAUCCCGAUUUCGGAAGGGAUAUAUUUAUUAGAUAUAAAACUAAUACCCUUUAGGGCUCUCUUAGUAAUUUAUAAUAACUUCUCGAAUCGUAUAGCCCUACGCUAAUAAUAGUUUAUUUAAAUUUCUUCCCUAUUAACUUUCGAUAUUACGGUAUUAUCCUAGUAUAGUUAUAACGGGUAAUAGAAAGUUAGGGCUCGACCCUAGAGAAGGAGCCUAAGAAACGGCUAUUAUAUCUAAGGAAGGUAGUAGGCGCGUAAAUUACCUAAUCCCGAUUCGGGGAGGUAGUAACGAUAAAUACCGAUAUAGGGCUCUUUUAAGUCCUAUAAUUAGAAUAAGUAUAAUUUAAAUCCCUUAACGAGGAAUAAUUAGAGGGUAAGUCUAGUACUAGUAGCUAUAGUAAUUCUAGCUCUAAUAGCGUAUAUUAAAGUUAUUAUAGUUAAAAAGCUCGUAGUAGAAGCUCGGCCUUCGGUCGGCUAGUCCGCUUUACUACGUAUACUAGUUCGGCCGGGGCUUUACCUUCUACGGAACUAUAUCUCCUUUACUAAGGGUAUCGGGGAAAUAGGACGUUUACUUUAAAAAAAUUUAAGUACUCUAAGUAGGCCUAUACUCGAAUAUAUUAAUAUAGAAUAAUAGAAUAGGACGUAUAGUCUUAUUUCGUUAGUUUCUAGGACCGCUAUAAUAAUUAAUAGGGAUAGUCGGGGGUAUUAAUAUUUAAUCGUUAGAGGUGAAAUUCUUAGAUCGAUUAAAGAUUAAUUAUUACGAAAGUAUUUACUAAGGAUAUUUUCAUUUAUUAAGAACGAAAGUUAAGGGAUUAAAGACGAUUAAAUACCGUCGUAAUCUUAACUAUAAACUAUACCGAUUAAGGAUCGGACGGUAUUAUUUCUUAACCCGUUUAGUAUUUUACGAGAAAUUAAAGUACUUAGGCUCUAGGGGGAGUAUAGUCGUAAGGCUAAAACUUAAAGAAAUUAACGGAAGGGCAUUAUUAGGGGUAGAGCUUAUGGCUUAAUUUAACUUAAUACGGGGAAACUUAUUAGGUCUAGAUAUAAUAAGGAUUAAUAGAUUAAGAGCUCUUUCUUAAUUUUAUAGGUAGUAGUAUAUAGCCGUUCUUAGUUAAUAGAGUGAUUUAUCUACUUAAUUACGAUAAUAAACGAGACCUUAACUUACUAAAUAGUCCGUAUUACUUUAAUAAUACGCUAACUUCUUAGAGGGACUAUCGGCUUAAGCUAAUAGAAGUUUAAGGUAAUAAUAGGUCUAUAAUACCCUUAGAUAUUCUAGGCUAUAUAUAUAUUAUAUUAACGGGGCUAGCGAGUACUACCUUAGCUAAAAGGUCCGGGUAAUCUUAUAAAACCCCGUCGUACUAGGGAUAGAGUAUUAUAAUUAUUACUCUUUAACGAGGAAUCCCUAAUAAGCGUAAGUUAUUAGCUUACGUUAAUUACGUCCCUACCCUUUAUAUAUAUUACUUAUCGCUACUACCGAUUAAAUAGCUUAGUAAGGCUUUCGGACUAGUCCGGAGUAAGGGGCGACCCCUAUUCUAGACCGGAAAGUUAUCCGAACUCGGUUAUUUAGAGGAAGUAAAAGUUAUAAUAAGGUCUCCGUUAAUGAAUUAGCGGAGG
rnacentral:rRNA from 1 species